CUUUCCCAGCUGUACUGGGAAUUUAGUGAUUGGAGCCUAAGCCCAGACAAUAGCCUUGAGGUUUUAUUGGCUCUUGAGGUGUCACACUGCUUGACAACUGUCCCUCGUCUCCUGCAGCAGUUGAGCGCCACCAGUCUGCUACUUAGAGAUUCCCCUCUAAAGUUUUAAGCUUUUUUUUUUCCAUCAGCAAACAUUUGUUGCCCCAGGCACUGGUGAAGACAUUGGGGAUAUAAAGAAGAGUGUGACAAGAAAAGUUAACUGGAGAGCCCGGUGUGGUGAUGCACCGCUGUAAUCCCAGCCCUCGGGAGACUGAAGCAGGAGGAUUGCCAAAAGUUCAAGGGCAUGCCUGGUUUAUUUUGUUUUAUUUAUGUAUUUUCUGGAGACAAGGGCUCAUCACACUGCCUAAGCUGGUCAAGCUCAUGAGCAGAGCGACCCUCCUGCCUCAGCAUUGUGUGAACUUCUGAGGGAGGUAAAAGAAGCAUCUUCUUCAGAACCGAGAGGGCGCCCAGGGCCUGAAGAACACCAGGCAUGAGUGGAGCUUGGCAAGGAAACGAGGGCAACUUCCGGCUGCAAUGCUGAAGUCAUCAACUCCCUGUGCCAGACUACUGGCUUCACCAGGCUCUAAUGAAAACGGCCAAAGCUGGGACAAAGGGAAGAUGGUCCCCAGGGAAGGCUGGUGUGCGCCCCUCCCAGCCGUCCUUAAGGGGACCCCAGAGUCUUGGUGAGCGCUGUCCAGCCACGGGGUGGGUGACUGUGUUGUGCUGCAGUCUGGCAGGGGCCACUGGACAGCUAAACAGGGGCCCACGAUGAGAUGGACCCGCUUUGGGGAGGGAUCAGAGGACAAUUCUACUACACUCAGCCUUCUCGAAACCUGA
ensembl:lncRNA